rnacentral:rRNA from 1 species
GAACGAGAAAGUGGAGCAAUCCAUGAGUAAAGUGGCGACCGGNGUGAGUAACACGUGACUAACCUGCCUUCGAGUGGGGGAUAACCUCGGGAAACCGGGGCUAAUACCGCAUAAUGCCGAGAGGUUAAAGGAGCAAUUCGCUUGAAGAGGGGGUCGCGGCUGAUUAGCUAGUUGGCGGGGUAACGGCCCACCAAGGCGAUGAUCGGUAGCCGGCCUGAGAGGGCGCACGGCCACACUGGAACUGAAACACGGUCCAGACUCCUACGGGAGGCAGCAGUGGGGAAUUUUGCGCAAUGGGGGAAACCCUGACGCAGCAACGCCGCGUGGAGGAUGAAGUCCCUUGGGACGUAAACUCCUUUCGACCCGGACGAUUAUGACGGUACGGGUGGAAGAAGCACCGGCUAACUCUGUG